rnacentral:lncRNA from 10 species
ACUGACAUCCGCGAAGCUGCUGGCGCGUGGACUGUGUGGGGAGGGCGCGUGGGGUGAAGGUGGGUCUGCGAGAGGGUCCGCUGGGAGGCUGGCGUCUGGCGUUGGCGCCUGAAAGAGAUCAGACCAGCUGUUGGGUGUCACUCAAGUCCUGCUGCUCUUAGCCCUCCUAGCACCCCCGACCCGAGGGUGCUGUGCUUGUGCCCACGCGCCGGUGAAGCCCCGAGACUCAGCGGGGAGACCCCGGGUCCGGCCACCCCCGAGCUGCAGUAGUCGGGUCUCACCGGCAUCUGCUACACAAACCCGGAUUGGUGCCCUGGCUCCUUUCGUUCAAGUCAUUGGAACCCCCACUCAAAAUCGUCAAAAUGAAGACGAUGGUCGUGUCUCCUUCUUGGGGGUUGGAUUAAAAGGGCCUAAUGUGAGAGACGGAAAGCAAAGCUCCCGGCACCGGGCCGGGCACACGGUGGGCGCUAGAUAAUGACCGCUAUUCACUCAACUGCAGCCAGUAAUUAUGGGCGAGGGCCAUCUAGGUGCUUGCAUGAGAACCAGUCAUAUCGGUGAAGAAGACGGCCAUGGGCUUAGGUUUUGGUGGCAAAACAGCUCCCCUGCCCCAAAAAAGAAAAGAGAAUAGAAAAGAAAAAGGCAUAAUAAAUAUCAGCCACACAUUGUGAUAAGUAUAUUGAAAGAAACGAGACAGAAUAAGAAAAGAGGAAGCUUCAGUAUCCUGUCACGUUGCCACUCCCUUCUGAUAACAGAAGCAUCUUUUCUUCUGUCCCCUUACUCCCUCCCAGAAACCCUGACACCCUUUCCAUUUAAAUAGCAGCACCCUAGGCCUCCAACAUCCCUGAGCUAAAUAUUCAAGUCCACAUGUCCCUUCUUGCCUGGAAAGAGACAGAACCCAGCACCAGCCAGGCCCCUGCCCUUCCCUCACUCUCAGUUCCCUGAGCCUCAAUUCCUUAUCUGUAAAAUGGAAAUGAUAGCCUAAGGCAUAAGGUCUGAGGACCUCAUGAGAUCAAGCAUGGGGCCUGGCACUCUGUAAACAUCGAAUCAACCAGAUUUUCUUUGCCCAAACAGCCCUCUUUUCUUACACUUUCUUCCUCGUUAUUCUUCUGAGUAUGCCACUUGUAAAGGAUAAGCCAUGAGGUUGCCCUGCAGAGUGCAAGAUGGUUGCAAUAUUUGAGAGCCUAUUGUGUGUGAGGCCCUGGAGGAUGGCAGAGGGAACAGGAGGAAAACAAAGUCACAUGCUUUACCCUCAAACAAAGGGCUGUCUGCGAUAGUUACAAUGUAUAUAUUAAAGGCUAUCUGUGAUAGUUACAAUGUAUAUAAUAUAUUAAAGGCUGUCUGUGGUAGUUAACAAUGUGUAUAUUAAAGGCUGUGAUAGUUACAAUGGGUAUACUAUAUUAAAGGCGGUGGUAGUUACAAUGUAUAUAAUAUAUUAAAGGCUGUGAUAGUUACAAUGUACAUAAUAUAUUAAAGGCUGUGAUAGUUAUAAUGUAUAUAUUAAAGGCUGUCUGUGAUGGUUAUAAUGUAUAUAAUAUAUUGAAGGCUGUCUGUGAUGGUUAUAAUGUAUAUAAUAUACUGAAGGCUGUCUGUGAUAGUUAAGAUGUAUAUAUUAAAGGCUGUCUGUGAUGGUUACAAUGUAUAUAAUAAAGACUGAGAAGUCUCACAGUGCAUAUACUGGUUUCCUUCUCUUUAACCCAGUAUUUCUUGAAUUUAUUGGGUCAUAGAGAUUUUUGGUUUUGGAGAUUUUUCUGUGGCCUCUGGCAAUGCUAUUCAACAGUAUUUCUUGUGCUCCUCUUUUGGGCACAAGAGAGGAUUGCAUCUCCCUGCUCCCAUCCAUGUGACUUGCUUUGGUCAACACAUUGUGAGCAGAAGAGAGAUGUGCCACUCUGGAUGAGAACCUUUAAGAACCAUAUUUCUCUAACCAUGCCAUGGCAAUCAGCGAUCCCCCAAUGGUGGGGCACCUACAGGCUAGGUCUGGGAGUGAGGACGACUUAAAAUGAAGCCCAGCCACAUUUGCUGGACAUACAGCACGAAUGAGAAAUAAACCUUUUGGGUUUUGCUUGUUAAUGCAGCAUAACUCAGCCUAUCCUAUAUGAUAAUACCAGCUAGAAACAUCUUCAAGGAAACCAGCAUCCCAGAAAACCUGGUUUACAAAGUGCCAAUCUUGUCCAAUCAGAAGUAGAAGUGCAGUUUAGUGACUAAGCUAGUUUCCUUAAUACAAUCCAGGCUGAGUGCAAUGGCUCAUACCUAUAAUCUCAGCACUUUGGGAGGCCGAGGCAGGAGGAUUGCUUGAGCCCAGGAGUUCAAGAUCAGCCUAGGAAACACACCCCAUCACUACAAAAUAAAAAUAAAAAAUAAAAAAAAUAGCUGGGCAUAGUAGCAAGCACCUGUAGUCCCAGCUACUCCAGAGGCUGAAGCAAGAGGAUUGCUUGAGUCCAGGAGUUCAAGAUCAGCCUGGAAAACAGUGAGACCCCAUCUCUACCAAAAAAAAAAAAAAAUGUUUUUAAUUAGCUUUUAAUUUAUUUAAUUAAAACCUCCUCAGGAAGCUGAAGGAGGAGGAUUGCUUGAGCCCAGGAGGUCAAGGCUGCAGUGAGCUGUGAUUGUGCCACUGCACUCCAGCCUGAGCAA